rnacentral:rRNA from 1 species
CCCCAGACUCCUACGGGAGGCAGCAGUCGGGAAUAUUGCGCAAUGGAGGAAACUCUGACGCAGUGACGCCGCGUAUAGGAAGAAGGUUUUCGGAUUGUAAACUAUUGUCGUUAGGGAAGAUAAAAGACAGUACCUAAGGAGGAAGCUCCGGCUAACUACGUGCCAGCAGCCGCGGUAAUACGUAGGUGGCAAGCGUUAUCCGGAUUUACUGGGUGUAAAGGGCGAGUAGGCGGGAUUGCAAGUCAGAUGUGAAAACUAUGGGCUCAACCGAUAGAGUGCAUUUGAAACUGCAGUUCUUGAGUGAUGGAGAGGCAGGCGGAAUUCCCGGUGUAGCGGUGGAAUGCGUAGAUAUCGGGAGGAACACCAGUGGCGAAGGCGGCCUGCUGGACAUUAACUGACGCUGAGGCGCGAAAGCGUGGGGAGCAAACAGGAUUAGAUACCCCUGUAC